AUCCAGCUGAAGAGUCCUAAAUAGGACGAAACGUGGGUCAUGGAU
rfam:Schistosoma margrebowiei strain Zambia genome assembly, scaffold: SMRZ_scaffold0002320